AGUGACAGUGGGGAAGGGACAAGAUCUUUUUGGAUCUGGGGUGUCCAUGGUUUUUUUCCCAGCGUUGCUGUUGCUGGUGAUAGUGUCACUGCCUCAUUUC